rnacentral:lncRNA from 1 species
CAGGAAGUGAUGUAAAAAAACAUUCUAUAUAUUUCUCAUCACUUCCUCUCUUGGGGUCUUUUCUCAGAGAGGUGGCACUGGCUCUGGUGGCAGAGAGGCAACUGGUGGCUACGUGCUGAGAGUCUUGGCAUCUUGGCGUGGCUGCAGCUAUUGUCUGGGUCUAGCAGGAAUGUCUAGCCAUGGUGCUGGCUGGUCAACAAUGGCCCUUCCCACUUAGAUUUCUAGAGGGAGUGGUUGAGAGAGAUGACAAAAUUGAAACAUG